AGUGCAAUAAUCUCAGGUCGCA
rnacentral:miRNA from 1 species